ACAUGCCUACAACAUAGCGUUAAUGCAUCAAAUCCCAUUAGAACUCGGUAGUUAAGUGUGCUUGGGCUAGAGUAGUACUUGGAUGGGUGACCUCUCGAGAAGUCCUAGUAUUUUACAUGCC
rnacentral:rRNA from 1 species